UGAUACCCUACUGGCUAUUCAGACCUCUGC
rnacentral:piRNA from 1 species